rnacentral:rRNA from 1 species
GAUGAACGCUGGCGGCGUGCCUAAUACAUGCAGGUCGAGCGAACAGACGAGGAGCUUGCUCCUUUGACGUUAGCGGCGGACGGGUGAGUAACACGUAGGUAACCUACCUAUAAGACUGGGAUAACUUCGGGAAACCGGAGCUAAUACCGGAUAAUAUUUCGAACCGCAUGGUUCGAUAGUGAAAGAUGGCUUUGCUAUCACUUAUAGAUGGACCUGCGCCGUAUUAGCUAGUUGGUAAGGUAACGGCUUACCAAGGCAACGAUACGUAGCCGACCUGAGAGGGUGAUCGGCCACACUGGAACUGAGACACGGUCCAGACUCCUACGGGAGGCAGCAGUAGGGAAUCUUCCGCAAUGGGCGAAAGCCUGACGGAGCAACGCCGCGUGAGUGAUGAAGGUCUUCGGAUCGUAAAACUCCGUUAUUAGGGAAGAACAAACGUGUAAGUAACUGUGCACGUCUUGACGGUACCUAAUCAGAAAGCCACGGCUAACUACGUG